rnacentral:rRNA from 1 species
AACGAACGCUGGCGGCAUGCCUAACACAUGCAAGUCGAACGAGACCUUCGGGUCUAGUGGCGCACGGGUGCGUAACGCGUGGGAACCUGCCCUUAGGUUCGGAAUAACUCCCCGAAAGGGGUGCUAAUACCGGAUAAUGUCUUCGGACCAAAGAUUUAUCGCCUUUGGAUGGGCCCGCGUUGGAUUAGCUAGUUGGUAGGGUAAAAGCCUACCAAGGCGACGAUCCAUAGCUGGUCUGAGAGGAUGAUCAGCCACACUGGGACUGAGACACGGCCCAGACUCCUACGGGAGGCGGCAGUGGGGAAUAUUGGACAAGGGGCGAAAGCCUGAGCCAGCAAUGCCGCGUGAGUGAUGAAGGCCUAAGGGGUGAAAAGCUCUUUUACCCGGGAUGAUAAAGACAGUACCGGGAGAAUAAGCUCCGGCUAACUCCG